rnacentral:rRNA from 1 species
GUAGGGAGUUUUCGACAAUGGGGGCAACCCUGAUCGAGCAACGCCGCGUGUGUGAUGAAGGUCUUCGGAUUGUAAAGCACUUUUAUAAGGGAUAAAUGGUAUUGAUAGUGGAAAGAUUAAUAUUUGAUAGUACCUUAUGAAUAAGUAACGACUAACUUCGUGCCAGCAGUCGCGGUAAUACGAAGGUUACGAGCGUUAUCCGGAAUUAUUGGGCGUAAAGAGUGAGCAGGCGGUUUAUUAAGUUUGAAGUCAAAUGGAUAGGCUCAACCUAUUCUCGCUUCAAAAACUGAUAGACUAGAGUAUGUGAGAGGUAAGUAGAACUCCAUGUGUAGCGGUGAAAUGCAUAGAUAUAUGGAAGAAUACCAGUGGCGAAGGCGGCUUACCAGCACAAGACUGACGCUCAGUCACGAAAGCGUGGGUAGCAAAUAGGAUUAGAAACCCUAGUAGUCCC